rnacentral:rRNA from 1 species
UUUGUAGGCGGUAUUUAGCUGUUAAAUGUUAAAAAUUAAAGCUCAACUUUAAAAAUGCAUUUAAAACGUUUAUACUGGAGUGCGAAGCAGGAUAAUGGAAUUUUACAAGGAGGGGUGAAAUCCGUAGAACUGUAAAGGAACGUCGAAAGCGAAGGCAGUUGUCUAGGUCGUUACUGACGCUGAGGAACGAAAGCGUGGGUAUCAAACA